UGCCAGUAGGUGGCGGUAAUGCCCCUUUAAGUUUGUUACCAACUGCUGUAAAACUCGAAGAAGAAGAAGAAAACUAUUAUGGGCUGGACUGGCGGUUGAAUGUAGCUACAACUUACGUCCAUGUGAGAAGGUACCUAGUAUUUUUCUACUUCUCCUAUCCUGUUUCUCACCUCCAUGUUGCAACAUAGAUUUAGUGCUGCAAAUUGUGUGACAGUUCAUUACCUACUAGGUGUGAGUCAGGUAUGGACAGUCAGACAGACAACCUGAUUAAGGUGAUUAAUGCCAAAUCUGAAGCUGCAGGAGGAAAGAUCACCGCCAUAAUGGCCCAGAUGGAUGGUGUACGUCUCUCUCUCUCUCUCUCUCUCUCU